rnacentral:rRNA from 1 species
UGGGGAAUAUUGCACAAUGGGCGCAAGCCUGAUGCAGCCAUGCCGCGUGUAUGAAGAAGGCCUUCGGGUUGUAAAGUACUUUCAGCGGGGAGGAAGGGAGUAAAGUUAAUACCUUUGCUCAUUGACGCUACCCGCAGAAGAAGCACCGGCUAACUCCGUGCCAGCAGCCGCGGUAAUACGGAGGGUGCAAGCGUGAAUCGGAAUUACUGGGCGUAAAGCGCACGCAGGCGGUUUGUUAAGUCAGAUGUGAAAUCCCCGGGCUCAACCUGGGAACUGCAUCUGAUACUGGCAAGCUUGAGUCUCGUAGAGGGGGGUAGAAUUCCAGGUGUAGCGGUGAAAUGCGUAGAGAUCUGGAGGAAUACCGGUGGCGAAGGCGGCCCCCUGGACGAAGACUGACGCUCAGGUGCGAAAGCGUGGGGAGCAAACAGG